AGAUCAUUGUGGGGGCAACUCCUCAACAAACCCUUGUACCUUUCCCAUGCUUCAUAGAGUGACUCUCCCAUUUUUUGUUCAAAAUUUGCAAUGGCUUUCUUCAAUUU